ensembl:lncRNA
GUGUGUGUGUGUGUGUGUGUGUGUGUGGUCUGGCAGACAUGCGUUCAGCUCUGUUUGUCAGGUUUCUAGUUUGCUCGUCGUUGUAAUCGCGUUACACGUGCUGUCGAGUCUUGCAGGAGAUUCACAGCGAGAGAACGUCCUGUUUUGAUUGCGAUUCUCACAAACACUGUUUUCUGUUCCACAUCCAGCUCGCUUAGCUUUCAUAAAACAGGUUAUAGCCCCGGGUCAUGCUGCAAUUCUAACAUAUGAUAAAUAAUAGAGGAGACGAGGAUUGUUUGGCAGCCUGACCCCUCGCGCUGAUGAAACGCUGAUUAUUUUCCUAGGAAAUCUGGCUGAGGCGGAUUUCUCCAGAUGUUUCUCUUCAGAAUAUUCAAGGAUUUGGGUUAAAUAUGGAGAAUUAAGUGCGCCUGUCGAGCAGCGCCGGAGGUUAAACAUCCCUCCGACUGCGGAGAAAAUUUCACAAGUCUGAAACAUAAUCACAGGCCGUGAUAAAGAGAUGAGGAGAGACUGUGUGACCCCGUCAUGUUCAGGCGCUCAGCCAUUAAAGCGUUUUAAAGCACUUCCAAAAGGGAUGGAUUUGGAGGAAAGCAGCCAGGGCAGUGAGGGGGCCGACGCGUGCCUAAAAAUACAGCCGCAUGCCACUCACGAGGUUAGACUGGCUUUGAACAGCUCUGGAUGUCUGUUCUCCUGAUAUCAGGAGUUUAAUGGCUGACAUACUGCUGGCCAUGGAGCAGAGACAAUGAGACCCUCGACUGCGGACGUUCAGAAUCAGUAAUUGCUCAUCAGAGGUCACUUUUUUCAUGCAGGAAUAAUUUAUGGAAUAUGCUUUGCAUAAAUUUUCC